GAUGAACGCUGGCGGCGUGCCUAAUACAUGCAAGUCGAGCGAACAGACGAGGAGCUUGCUCCUCUGACGUUAGCGGCGGACGGGUGAGUAACACGUGGAUAACCUACCUAUAAGACUGGGAUAAAUUCAGGAAACCGGAGCUAAUACCGGAUAAUAUAUUGAACCGCAUGGUUCAAUAGUGAAAGACGGUUUUGCUGUCACUUAUAGAUGGAUCCGCGCCGCAUUAGCUAGUUGGUAAGGUAACGGCUUACCAAGGCGACGAUGCGUAGCCGACCUGAGAGGGUGAUCGGCCACACUGGAACUGAGACACGGUCCAGACUCCUACGGGAGGCAGCAGUAGGGAAUCUUCCGCAAUGGGCGAAAGCCUGACGGAGCAACGCCGCGUGAGUGAUGAAGGUCUUCGGAUCGUAAAACUCUGUUAUUAGGGAAGAACAAAUGUGUAAGUAACUAUGCACGUCUUGACGGUACCUAAUCAGAAAGCCACGGCUAACUACGUG
rnacentral:rRNA from 1 species